AUGCAAGUCGAGCGGUAACAGAGAGUAGCUUGCUACUCUGCUGACGAGCGGCGGACGGGUGAGUAAUGCUUGGGAAUAUGCCUUAUGGUGGGGGACAACAGUUGGAAACGACUGCUAAUACCGCAUAAUGUCUACGGACCAAAGUGGGGGACCUUCGGGCCUCACGCCAUAAGAUUAGCCCAAGUGGGAUUAGCUAGUUGGUGAGGUAAUGGCUCACCAAGGCGACGAUCCCUAGCUGGUUUGAGAGGAUGAUCAGCCACACUGGGACUGAGACACGGCCCAGACUCCUACGGGAGGCAGCAGUGGGGAAUAUUGCACAAUGGGCGCAAGCCUGAUGCAGCCAUGCCGCGUGUGUGAAGAAGGCCUUCGGGUUGUAAAGCACUUUCAGUAAGGAGGAAAGGUUAAGUGUUAAUAGCACUUAGCUGUGACGUUACUUACAGAAGAAGCACCGGCUAACUCCGUGCCAGCAGCCGCGGUAAUACGGAGGGUGCGA
rnacentral:rRNA from 1 species